CAACUUUUGACAACGGAUCUCUUGGCUCUCGCAACGAUGAAGAACGCAGCGAAUUGCGAUAAGUAAUGUGAAUUGCAGAAUUCAGUGAAUCAUCGAAUCUUUGAACGCACAUUGCGCUCCGGGGUAUUCCCCGGCGCAUGCCCGUUUGAGAAUCAGUAAGUU
rnacentral:rRNA from 1 species